CCGGUCAACCACUGGGUUAGUUCGAGUAUUUUUUUAAUUUUUUUGUUAAAUUAUUAGGAUCAUAAUUUUUUUCUUAACUAUUUUUUUGCUUAGAUAAUCUCCUUUAGCAUGUCAAAAUGUAUUAAGUAAAACAUAUGUGAUACUAUAAAUCCAUAAAUCCAUACAUCCUACAAACAUGAAAAGUAUAAAAAUAUAUACAUCAUGUGCCACAAGGCGGUCUUGCUUCUUCC
rnacentral:lncRNA from 1 species